UAGGGAAUCUUCCGCAAUGGGCGAAAGCCUGACGGAGCAACGCCGCGUGAGUGAUGAAGGUCUUCGGAUCGUAAAACUCUGUUAUUAGGGAAGAACAAAUGUGUAAGUAACUAUGCACGUCUUGACGGUACCUAAUCAGAAAGCCACGGCUAACUACGUGCCAGCAGCCGCGGUAAUACGUAGGUGGCAAGCGUUAUCCGGAAUUAUUGGGCGUAAAGCGCGCGUAGGCGGUUUUUUAAGUCUGAUGUGAAAGCCCACGGCUCAACCGUGGAGGGUCAUUGGAAACUGGAAAACUUGAGUGCAGAAGAGGAAAGUGGAAUUCCAUGUGUAGGGGUGAAAUGCGCAGAGAUAUGGAGGAACACCAGUGGCGAAGGCGACUUUCUGGUCUGUAACUGACGCUGAUGUGCGAAAGCGUGGGGAUCAAACAGG
rnacentral:rRNA from 1 species